rnacentral:rRNA from 1 species
GACGAACGCUGGCGGCGUGCUUAACACAUGCAAGUCGAACGCAGUGGCGUACGGGUGAGUAACGCGUAAUCAACCUGCCCUUCAGAGGGGGACAACAGUAGGAAACGACUGCUCAUACCGCAUACUGAAGGAGGGGAUUGCGUCCGAUUAGCUAGUUGGAGGGGUAACGGCCCACCAAGGCGAUGAUCAUUAGCCGGUCUGAGAGGAGUAACGGCCACAUUGGGACUGAGACACGGCCCAGACGCCUACGGGAGGCAGCAGUGGGGAAUCUUCCGCAAUUGAAGAAAGUCGGACGGAGCAAAGCCGCGUGAGGGAUGACGGCCUUCGGGUUGGAAAGCUCUGUUAAUCGGGACGCGGUACCGGAAUAGAAAGCCACGGCUAACUACGUGCCAGCAGCCGCGGUAAUUC